UCCACAUAAAUUAGUCCAAUAUUGAUGCAAAAAGCAUAAAUAUAUAGUGUGUAUUGCUAGCAACUGUAUGAGUGAAUAUAACUUUUCAUAGCAUAAUUAUACUAUCUGCAUGUGGUCCUUUUCAUAACAUAAUACACUACACUUGUUGCUUAUAACAAGGACCAGAGGUAAUAUCAUUAUUAGUUUUUUAUUCAUACGUUGCUGGAAGUUUGAAAUGAACCAACUUAAAAGUUAAUAAAAGAUUGAGUGUGUUUGGUUACACGUGUCAGAUGCAGUUUUUUGUCUUUCAUAACAAACUAAUAGUUAUAACUUUUACAUCCAGAAGUGAUUUCUUACUUCUCAACGAAUUUCCAAACACGUAUUAAUUUGGAUGAUAUAUAUUGUCUUUUUUUUUUUUUUAAUUUCUUCUCCACUCAUUGCAGGCUCACACAGUAGUACUCCUCCAUCUCAUGGCCAUGGAAGCUCUCCACCCUCACAUCAUCACAGUAGUCCAAGUACUCCAUCAACACCCUCAGGUGGAAACUGUGGAUCAUCACCUCCACAACAUCAUGAUCCAACAACACCCUCAACUCCAUCAACACCAUCAAACCCUCCCUCAGGUGGAUACUAUGGAGGUAGCCCCCCAACACCUGUCACUGUGAGCCCACCAACUACUCCAGUUGACCCUGGAACCCCUAGUA
rnacentral:lncRNA from 1 species